UACGGAGGGGGCGAGCGUUAUUCGGAAUUACUGGGCGUAAAGGGCUCGUAGGCGGCCAACUAAGUCAUACGUGAAAUCCCUCGGCUUAACCGGGGAACUGCGUCUGAUACUGGAUGGCUUGAGAUUGGGAGAGGGAUGCGGAAUUCCAGGUGUAGCGGUGAAAUGCGUAGAUAUCUGGAGGAACACCGGUGGCGAAGGCGGCAUCCUGGACCAACACUGACGCUGAGGAGCGAAAGCCAGGGGAGCAAACGGG
rnacentral:rRNA from 1 species